AUAUACCUCCGUACACGCCGGUUCCUCUGCGCCGUCCGCACCCACCUGACGACUGCUUGCUCCGUUUUGUUAGCC
rnacentral:sRNA from 3 species